rnacentral:misc_RNA from 1 species
GUCAUGUUCUACUUAGACGUUUUUUGUUUGCAAAGCAAAGCAAAGUAAAUUAAAGCACACAGAAGCUUUUGCUUGUUUAGAUCGUGAAUUAUCAACGAACAUUAAAAUAAAAGUAUUGGUUUGGUGUCAUAGUUUGGAUCGGAUUACUGAAAUUUGGUGUUUGUAAGGACAUAAAAAUGGUUCCUAAUUUGAACUUGCUGCACGUAAUAUGUUUCGCACUGUUAUUCGAUAUGUGCGUGCGCACGCGUGCAGAAUUAUUCACCGCCAUAGCUGAAGUAGAACAUUUACUGGAAACACACAAGAGGAUAAUAGACGAUUUAGACUUUUAUAUUCAAAAGGAAGAAAACAGACUCGCAGUUCUAAAGAGGCAUUUGAAUAUCUACAAACACGAACAUGAAAAGGCGAUGGAAGAUAUUCCCAAUUACUUGGGCAAUCCAAUCAACGCCUUCACCCUUAUAAAAAGACUGACAACAGAUCUUGAUCAUAUAGAAGAUAGUAUUAAGAUAGGAACAGAAUACAUAAAGAAUAUAACAAUGAAUCAUGAAGAUGUGAAGUAUCCUGCUUUGGAAGACCUGACGGGAGCCGCACAGGCUCUUACCAGGCUUCAGGAAACUUACCACCUAGACGUUAAGGACUUGGCCGAAGGAAUGCUAAAUGGAGUCGCUUACAGUACGCCAAUGAGCGCGGGCGACUGUUACGAACUCGGUCGUGCAUUGUACAACGAGAAAGAUUUCGUGAAUGCGCGAGAGUGGAUGGUGCAGGCUUUGCGAAAGCUCAAGGAAGAAAAUGUGCCGUAUCCAUUCAAUGAGGUCGAUAUACUGGAGUAUAUUAGCUUCUCUUAUUAUUUGUUGGGUGACACUCGAAGUGCUUUGGAAUGGACACAAAAGCUGCUAGCAGUGGAUCCGAAGCACGUCCGAGCUAAAGGCAACGUGCCUCAUUACCAAAAGAGUAUUGCUGAAGAGGAACAAAGACUAAGGAAGGAACGUCGCGGGGAUACAGGCUUUGAGGAGAAUGAGGAAAAACCUGUAACUUUGACCGGCUACGCAAAGGAGAGGAAAGUUUAUGAGUCCCUUUGUCGCGGCGAAGUUGAUAUACCCUCCGCUAUUUCUAAGAGGUUGACGUGCCGUUACUUGACCGAGAACCACCCGUUCCUGCGCAUAGCGCCAAUCAAGAUGGAAAUGAUGUACCUUAAUCCCGACAUAGUUAUAUUCCACGAUGUCAUCAGUGACGGAGAGAUUGAAACUGUCAAGAAAAUGGCCAGACCUAGAUUCAAACGUGCAGUAGUUCACGAUCCGAAAACAGGUGAACUUGUACCCGCUCACUACCGUAUAAGCAAGUCUUCAUGGUUGAAAGACAAUGAGGCAGAGACAAUCGCGCGUAUCUCCCGUCGAGUGUCACAUAUGACUGGCCUGAGUAUGGACUCCGCUGAAGAGUUGCAGGUCGUUAACUACGGCAUAGGGGGGCAUUAUGAACCGCAUUAUGAUUUUGCUAGGAAACGAGAGAAUGCAUUCUCCAAACAUGGUGGCAAUAGGAUAGCUACUGUACUUUUCUAUAUGUCAGACGUAGCUCAAGGCGGUGCCACGGUAUUCACGGAGCUGGGUCUGAGCGUGUUCCCAGUGAAGAGAGCAGCCGCCUUCUGGCUCAACCUGCACCCGUCGGGCGAGGGCGACCUCGCCACCAGGCACGCCGCCUGCCCCGUGCUGCAGGGCUCUAAGUGGGUCAGCAACAAAUGGCUUCACCAAGGCGGCCAAGAAUUGCUGAAGCCCUGCAAUCUCGAGUACCAAGAAGAGGGAUUCAUUCGUCAGAUCCCACGCCCAGUGCCCAAGACCUCAAGGUAGACUUUCCUGUAUCAUGUCGAAUGUACAAACAGUACUGAUUAGUGCAAAUAUAGUGAUCUGAUUAGAGCUGAAAAUGGUGUAUUUGAUAACUACUGGGUAGCAUAAAUCUUUGUUUGGUAGAAAUAAGAAUGUCCCCACUUUUCAUGUUGAGAAUAUUUGCGAAAGGAGUUUUGACCGGUAUUGGUGACUUACAAUAGUUGACCGUACCACUUACGACAUUGUUGGUCAAAGCCAGUCAGCUUUUGUUCAUAAAUUGAAACGGUAUUCCAUUCCUAAUAUUUCGUUGUUAUUUCUUUUUAAAGUGUUUUUCUAAAUUACUGAAAUAUGUUUAUUCUAUGUAGUUAUCAGAUAUAUUUUCUUUUUAAGUUGAUUGAGUACAACAUGUUAUACUAGCCAUUGUAGUAUUUUAGUAUGUGUAACCGUGUUGUGUCAUGAUUUAGAACAAAGUUAUUUUUAAUCUUGCCUGAUAAUGAAUAUCUAAUCAAAUGGAAAAUAUAGAGGCUUCAGAGUUGCCGUUUGUCUUUAAUACUAAUGUAAUAAUUUAUUACCAGUGUAUUAUAAACAUAAGAAUUUAUAGUUUAAAUGAUUUUUAUUAAUAUUUUUAUAUGUUUAUGUAUGUAUAAAAAUAUUUAUAUGACAAAAUAAAAUAAUUGUUUAAUUAUACUUUGUAAGUUUUAUAGUAUGUAUCCAUGAAAACCAGUCAUUUAAUUUAGUUUUAAGUAACGGAAUAUAAAAAUGAUGUUCAGUCUCAUAAAAUGCAUUUAUUAAAAAGUUUCUAAACAUAUCUAAUAUAAGUAAUAACAAUCGCUUUAUUAGACAAUUUACUAAAAGUAUGCUUAAAAUUAAGUUACUCACUGUGAAAAAAAAAAAAGUUUUUUAUUCAAUUAUACGUAAACACAGAUUGUUUUCCAGUUUUUGAUAAUACAAUUUUUAUUGAUA